UACGGAGGGGACUAGCGUUGUUCGGAAUUACUGGGCGUAAAGCGCACGUAGGCGGACCGAAAAGUCAGAGGUGAAAUCCCAGGGCUCAACCUUGGAACUGCCUUUGAAACUGCCGGUCUAGAGUUCGAGAGAGGUGAGUGGAAUUCCGAGUGUAGAGGUGAAAUUCGUAGAUAUUCGGAGGAACACCAGUGGCGAAGGCGGCUCACUGGCUCGAUACUGACGCUGAGGUGCGAAAGCGUGGGGAGCAAACAGG
rnacentral:rRNA from 1 species